AAACGUAGGGGGCGAGCGUUGUCCGGAAUUACUGGGCGUAAAGGGCGCGUAGGCGGUCAUUUAAGUCAGAGGUGAAAACUACCGGCUCAACCGGUAGCCUGCCUUUGAAACUGGAUGACUUGAGGGCAGGAGAGGGGAGUGGAAUUCCCAGUGUAGCGGUGAAAUGCGUAGAUAUUGGGAGGAACACCAGUGGCGAAGGCGGCUCUCUGGCCUGUUUCUGACGCUGAGGCGCGAAAGCGUGGGGAGCGAACGGGAUUAGAUACCCCGGUAGUCCACGCCGUAAACGAUGGGUGCUAGGUGUAGGAGGUAUCGACCCCUUCUGUGCCGUAGCUAACGCAAUAAGCACCCCGCCUGGGGAGUACGGCCGCAAGGUUGAA
rnacentral:rRNA from 1 species